AUUGUGAGAGAAAUUAUACGUACAAGUAUAAAUCCAUUAGACAUUUGAUUCCCAAAUCCAGAUCCAACACCCCUGUGCACCGUUUAUCAUCUCCCUAAAUACCUCUCUUCACCCGCUCAUGUCUCAUAUUGUCUGUAACAGAGAAACCUUUGGGGCAUUCGUCAUCCAUCCAUCGAAGUUAUCAAAUAUUCCAAGACAUUAACAAAUUUCUAUCCUUCUGAAACAUUGAACCAAGAGCUCAAACCUGCAGGCUGUAGAAAUUGCAUGCUACUAAAACUAGAUCUGCACCCUUGGCCACGAUUGUUACUAUUCACACAGCUUGUUGGGUUCAGUGAAAACAAACAAGAACACUGACUUCAAUUUGAUGAAGGACAAAUAAGAUGAUUAAUAGAAAAAAAGACAUAUUCAGAAAUAAUAGGGAAUGGGGGGGAG
rnacentral:lncRNA from 1 species